UUAUCCAGAAAGGUGGAGGGAACAGGCCCUUUGAAACCUUAGCAACCUGACACAAUAAGUGGAAAGGUGCUACAUCCUGCCCCGAUUAGACGCGGGGAGAGAUAAGA
rnacentral:ncRNA from 1 species